rnacentral:rRNA from 1 species
GACGAACGCUGGCGGCGUGCUUAACACAUGCAAGUCGAACGGUGAAGCGCCUUCCUUUUUGGUGGGUGUGGAUGAGUGGCGAACGGGUGAGUAACACGUGAGUAACCUGCCCCCUUCUUAUGGAUAACCGCAUGAAAGUGUGGCUAAUACGGGAUAUUCUGGGUCUGUCGCAUGAUGGGUCUGGGAAAGAUAUUGUUUCGGUGGGGGAUGGGCUCGCGGCCUAUCAGCUUGUUGGUGGGGUGAUGGCCUACCAAGGCGGUGACGGGUAGCCGGCCUGAGAGGGUGGACGGCAACAGUGGGACGGAGACACGGCCAAGACUCCUACGGGAGGCAGCAGGGGGGAAUAGUGCACAAUGGGCGCAAGCCUGAUGCAGCGACGCCGCGUGAGGGAUGGAGGCCUUCGGGUUGUGAACCUCUUUCGCCAGUGAAGCAGGCCUGCCUCGUUUGUGGGUGGGUUGACGGUAGCUGGAUAAGAAGCGCCGGCUAACUACGUG